rnacentral:rRNA from 1 species
CGGCCUGCGCGGAAGAUGUAACGGGGCUAAACCAUGCACCGAAGCUGCGGCAGCGACACUAUGUGUUGUUGGGUAGGGGAGCGUUCUGUAAGCCUGCGAAGGUGACCUGUGAGGGUUGCUGGAGGUAUCAGAAGUGCGAAUGCUGACAUAAGUAACGAUAAAGCGGGUGAAAAGCCCGCUCGCCGGAAGACCAAGGGUUCCUGUCCAACGUUAAUCGGGG